GCCAGCCAGCAUCGUCUGUGUGGGUGAGAGCGUUCGCGAAUGACUCGGAAUGACCUUGGACACCUUCGCGUUUCCCACUGGCAGGCCACGCCAAUUAAAAUUCCACAGCUGCCUUCAUUGUCGGUGCUAUUUUUAUCUGAGCCAUUGCCACACAUCAGACAGAGUGGUAAAUCUACAACAGAAAACCUCAGCCGCAACUUUCAAAUGGCUCAACUUUCAAAGUCACGCUGCCAAAUUCCCGAGGAGCAAAAACGUGCAAAUUUGACCCAAAAUGCACAAGAAACCACAAAAUGGUGAUUGAAAGUCCUGCAUGAGAAUCUGCUGUCAAGCUUUGGUGAGAAAUCAAUUUUCUGAUCGCUAAUUAUUGAGUGUCAUGCGUAUAUGUAGUUGGAAACAACCACUAGUCUGUCGAAUAACUAGCAAAGCCAAAGAGGUAGCAGAGCUCACUCUGUCAGACAGCUACUCUGCAGCCCUAUGUGUUGGAAUGCAAAAAGUGAUGGCUUAAUGAAUGCAUUAUAGCGUCUUCCUCUCUCACAUGCGUCCAUGUGCACAGGCAAGCAUGCAUGCUAAUGGUCUGCAAAUGAAUAUAGAUUAUGAGGCCACAUCAUGCCAGCGUGGCAAAAGAAGAACAAGAGGUAAACAAAGUGAAACCUACUGAAAUGGCGACACUGUGUUUCUCUCUCUCUCUCUCAGUCUCUUCACACACCGUGGUCUGAAAGUCUGCACCCGUCUUGUUUCUUUAAAACGCUUUUUCUGUCCCUCAACGCACACUGUUUUACUUCCUCUCCUCUGUUCUCUGGAGCUUUCUUUGUCUGAGCUCGGUAUUCCUACAGCACUUGGAGAGAUGGAGGGAGAGAGAGUGUAGGAGCAUGAAACUGCAGCCGCUCUGGAGAGGCAGUAGAAAGAGCGGGAGUGAGAGAGAGA